GAUGAACGCUGGCGGCGUGCCUAAUACAUGCAAGUCGAGCGAACGGACGAGAAGCUUGCUUCUCUGAUGUUAGCGGCGGACGGGUGAGUAACACGUGGAUAACCUACCUAUAAGACUGGGAUAACUUCGGGAAACCGUAGCUAAUACCGGAUAAUAUUUUGAACCGCAUGGUUCAAAAGUGAAAGACGGUCUUGCUGUCACUUAUAGAUGGAUCCGCGCUGCAUUAGCUAGUUGGUAAGGUAACGGCUUACCAAGGCAACGAUGCAUAGCCGACCUGAGAGGGUGAUCGGCCACACUGGAAGUGAGACACGGUCCAGACUCCUACGGGAGGCAGCAGUAGGGAAUCUUCCGCAAUGGGCGAGAGCCUGACGGAGCAACGCCGCGUGAGUGAUGAAGGUCUUCGGAUCGUAAAACUCUGUUAUUAGGGAAGAACAUAUGUGUAAGUAACUGUGCACAUCUUGACGGUACCUAAUCAGAAAGCCACGGCUAACUACGUG
rnacentral:rRNA from 1 species